rnacentral:rRNA from 1 species
UACAGAGGGUGCGAGCGUUGUCCGGAAUCACUGGGCGUAAAGGGCGCGUAGGUGGCGACCCAAGUCGAUGGUGAAAGCUCGCCGCUCAACGGCGAGUCGGCCACCGAUACUGGGUUGCUGGAGCACUGUAGAGGCUCAUGGAAUUCCGGGGUGUAGCGGUGAAAUGCGCAGAUAUCAGGAGGAACACCGGUGGCGAAGGCGGGUCUCUGGGCCGAUACUGACGCUGGAGGAGCGAAAGCCGUGGGGAGCGAACAGG